rnacentral:rRNA from 1 species
CUGGAGGUAUCAGAAGUGCGAAUGCUGACAUAAGUAACGAUAAAGCGGGUGAAAAGCCCGCUCGCCGGAAGACCAAGGGUUCCUGUCCAACGUUAAUCGGGGCAGGGUGAGUCGACCCCUAAGGCGAGGCCGAAAGGCGUAGUCGAUGGGAAACGGGUUAAUAUUCCCGUACUUGGUGUUACUGCGAAGGGGGGACGGAGAAGGCUAUGUUGGCCGGGCGACGGUUGUCCCGGUUUAAGCGUGUAGGUGUGUGUUCCAGGUAAAUCCGGUUCACUUUAACACUGAGGCGUGACGACGAGGCACUACGGUGCUGAAGCAACAAAUGCCCUGCUUCCAGGAAAAGCCUCUAAGCAUCAGGUAACAUCAAAUCGUACCCCAAACCGACACAGGUGGUCAGGUAGAGAAUACCAAGGCGCUUGAGAGAACUCGGGUGAAGGAACUAGGCAAAAUGGUGCCGUAACUUCGGGAGAAGGCACGCUGACACGUAGGUGAAGUGAUUUACUCAUGGAGCUGAAGUCAGUCGAAGA